rnacentral:lncRNA from 1 species
UUCAAUUAGUGUUAUCCAGAAUCUUACUAAUGGUGCAACAGUGUACCAUCCGAGGUUUAAUCCUCAGUUUCCUGGGAGGGGAAUUCACACGAGGACUAAGUAGAAAGAAAUACACUACACAUAUAGCUUACAACUAUAGUUCCAACACUCUGGAGGCGGGGACAGGAAGACUGUGAAUUUAAGGCCAAUAGGAAUUGCAUAAGCUGUUUUUAUCUCCAGAGAGAGAGACAAAAAAAGAAUGAACAAAUAAACAGAUGGAUAUAAACAAAGUGAACUUGAGAAUUCUGGCAACUCUUUGGAAUCUUGAUUUUAACUAUUUUUAAAAAUAAAUACCAAGGAGAUAGAUUGCUGAUCAGAUGGUAAGAAUUCCAUAUGUGAUCUCCCUUGUGCCUUCCUAGAGCAUGGAUGAAAAGGAAUUAAAGGACUCAUUCAAAGAGGAGAGGACAGCUGGGUCAGAAGCAAAGUCCAAAAACAUGUGGCAGGUGAUGGAUGGGAAAACAGAAUAAAAAUCUAUCAAUGGCAGAGAUUCAAAACCAGAGGGCUCAAAACACCAGUUCUUUUUCAGCAGGAAGUGGUAUGGAGCAUCACUGCAGUCCCUUUGAAGACCUGUCUCUGCAGGGAGCUCAGCAGGGCCUUUCAUCAGGAACCCCAAGGUGUCUCUGA